ACCACUUCCCAGUUGUUAUUUUCUUUUCAUCUCUUCUGCUUCACUUCUAGGUUUUCUUACUUUUUUUGGUUUGGAUCACCAAGAAACGCAAAUGGGGUUUAGUAAAUGGAAUCCUGGUGCUGUAAGGAAUUCUGGUGGAACCAGAAUCAGCAUCAGCAUCAUCUUCUCGACCGCGUUAGGAUUUAACCUCUCAAUACUGAAUAAUCUCAUGGUUAUUUUUGUUGUUUAUCUCCUUCUUAGACAUACACCCUCGAUCAAUUAAAAGAUCUCCAGAGGAAAGAGAGAAAUAGCUACAUCAAUCCACCACCACCAGCAUCAUCAAAGAGACCAUCCGAAACCAGCUUGAGAAUCAAUUUGAAGAAUUGCUCUUCCAACUUCACAUUUGAUGCUAGUGCUUGACAUUUACAUUUUUUCUCUCGGAGAACUCAAGACAUAUCAAGAAAAGGAAAGUGUUGCACUAAGUGGUUAGGGGAUCUUCAGAGAUUGGGAGGAUAGAAGAAAAGUCUCCUAAAUGCUUACUUGGUGAAGAUACAUCUAGUUCCGGAAGAGGGAUUUGGUAAUUUCUCAACUAAGGUAGUUCGUGCUGUCAAGAAAGUUAUCCAUCUGUAUUUUCUGGAGGAGAAGCAGGACUUGUGAGUAUUUUCUGGCAGACCACGUGUGAAUGGACAAAAAUCUCGAGAAAAGGAGAUUUUUUGCGUAUGACAGGAACCUACAGAAUGUGUUGCAGGAGACAAAAGGGACAGAAGCUACGAUCUGGAGACCAAGUAUCUAGAGAAAAUUGCUUAGAUUGCUCAUGAUAGUGGUUCUCUUUUGAUGGCGGAUAAUGUAUAAUUUUCCUGUGUUAUCACAACCAUUGGAGCUUGGAGCAGACAUUGUAAUGCACUUGGCUACCAAAUCUAUGUAUGGUCAUGUGGAUGUCAUGUCAAGAUUCAUUGCUGUCAAGGGAGAAAGGUAUGCAGCUUUCAAAAUAAGCUUCUGGCCUCAUGUGAUAGACAUCUUUACUUUAUCGAAUCAAAAAAUGUGGUUUUGUUUAGUGAAUUGUCGCAUCCAUAUCUUUAAUUGACAACAUAUUGCAUUUAAAAGGUACAUAAUACACAUAUGAUCUGUCUUUUGUAUAUUCUCUUGCAAAUAAUCUGGAUUGCUCAGCACUUAUGCUUCACCGUCUUAUCA